CCUCUCAUAGCGUAGUGGUAACGCGCCCCCACUAGAGAUCGGGGAGUCGUGAGUUCGAUUCUCACUGAGAAGA
rfam:Aedes aegypti strain Liverpool supercont1.280 genomic scaffold, whole genome shotgun sequence.